rnacentral:rRNA from 1 species
CAGUAGCCGCGGUAAGACGGAGGGGGCUAGCGUUGUUCGGAAUUACUGGGCGUAAAGAGUGCGUAGGCGGUUUAGUAAGUUGGAAGUGAAAGCCCGGGGCUUAACCUCGGAAUUGCUUUCAAAACUACUAAUCUAGAGUGUAGUAGGGGAUGAUGGAAUUCCUAGUGUAGAGGUGAAAUUCUUAGAUAUUAGGAGGAACACCGGUGGCGAAGGCGGUCAUCUGGGCUACAACUGACGCUGAUGCACGAAAGCUAGGGGAGCAAACAGGAUUAGAUACCCCGGUAGUCCCUGUCUCUUAUAC